GGGAGGUAGUGACAAUAAAUAACAAUAGCGGGCUCUUUCGAGUCUGCUAAUUGGAAUGAGUACAAUUUAAAUCCCUUAACGAGGAACAAUUGGAGGGCAAGUCUGGUGCCAGCAGCCGCGGUAAUUCCAGCUCCAAUAGCGUAUAUUAAAGUUGUUGCAGUUAAAAAGCUCGUAGUUGAAUUUCGGGAUCAAUGUUUCGGUCAUGCCGUUGGUAUGUACUGAUAUUAUUGGUUUCUCACCUUCUAAAGAACCGUAAUGCCAUUAAUUUGGUGUCACGGGGAAUUAGGACUGUUGCCUUGAAAAAAGUAGAGUGUUUAAAGCAGGCUCACGCUUGAAUACAUUAGCAUGGAAUAAUGAAAUAGGACAUCCGAUUCUAUUUUGUUGGUUUCUAGGAUCGAUGUAAUGAUUAAUAGGGAUAGUUGGG
rnacentral:rRNA from 1 species